rnacentral:rRNA from 1 species
AUCGAACGCUAGCGGGAUGCUUUACACAUGAAAGUCGAAUUGAGUGACGGACGGGUGAGUAAUAUAUCGGAACGUGCCCGGUAGCGGGGGUUAACUACUUGGAAGAGUAGCUAAUACCGCCUACUAUUUUAUUUGCCGCUAACGGAUUAGCUAGAUGGUGGGGUAACGGCUAACCAAGGUAAAGAUCCGUAGCUUGUUUGAGAGGCAGACCCGCCAAACGGGGACUGAGACACGGCCCAGACUCCUACGGGAGGCAGCAGUGGGGAAUUUUGGACAAUGGGGGAAACCCUUAUCCAGCCAUCCCGCGUGUAUGAUGAAGGCCUUCGGGUUGUAAAGUACUUUUGGCAGAGAAGCGGUAUCUGCAGAAUAAGCACCGGCUAACUACGUGCCAGCAGCCGCGGUAAUUC